CUCCGCCUCCCAAAGUGCUGGGAUUACAGGCAUGAGCUACCACGCCUAGCACUUUUUAGUUUUUAUUUGCUUUAGGUUAUAACUAAAUAACUGAAACUUGGAACUAGACUCAGAAUGUAUCUUAGUUCAUCUGAAGGACAUGGGGCCCACUGGGAUGCUUCUCACUAUUUCACUAUUUUUUGGUCCUUGCCCACUUUUUCCUUGAAAUGAUUCAUUUUGUGUAUUUUAUGAUAGCUCAAGACAUCAGGUAGCUAGUCACAACCAGCAGCAAAUGCACUGGCUGAAAUCGCCUUCCUUGCUCUGGAAUGUCUGCCCUUGAAUGCAAAUUAAUUUACUUCUGGAUCCCUGACGGUGUGAUCGUAUGACUGUGAAUUCAUCUGUAGAAUGGUAAGGUCAGCAUGCCUUUUUUCUCCUGUCUCCAGUAGCAGACUGCAAAAUGACCAGAAAGGGGAGGGCUACUUAGCAUCAAGUUUUUCCACACUAGUAAUGGAGAGAUGCUAUGGUUUGGAUGCAGCUAGUUGUCCCCACUAAAACUCAAGUUGAUAUUUGAUCCCCAGUGUGGCAGUGUUGGAGGUCAGACCUAGUGGGAGGUAUUAGGAUAAUGACAAGGGAUCCUUCAUGAAUGGCAUGGUGCUAUUCUCCUGGUAGUACAUGAGUUCUCUCUGUUGCUAGACUGGAUUACUUCUCAUGGAUAUGGAUUCGUUCCCAUGGAGUGGGUUAUAAUAAAGAUAGGAUGCUCCUCAAGUUUUUCUCCCUCUUCACACAUGUCCACUUCCUUUUGAUCUCCUCUGCCAUAUUGUGAUAUAGCACAAAAGCCCUUGCUGGAAGCCCAGGGCCAUGCCCUUGAACUUCUCAGCCUGCAGAACUGUGAGCUAAACAAACCUCUUUUCUUUAUAAAUUACCCAGUCUCCAGUAUUCUUUUAUACCAAUGCAAAACAGACUAAGGGCAGAAGCAUAAAGAGAGAAAGAGAGAGGCCAUCCCUCCCCCCUGUUUCUCUGGAUUAUCUUACUUGCUGGCCAAGGGUUUGUCAUUUCUACACCUGUGGCAAACAAUAAUGAUACAUGGAAAGACCCUGUAGAUAUUGUCCUAAUAGAGUUCAUGCUAGAGCCUUAAACAUGACUCAUAUGGGUAUUGAAUGGAUGAGUGGAUCAAUCAAUUAAUUCUUCAAGUAUGUUUAUGACUGGGGCUGAUACUGAGCUCAUAGGUGCUAAUGUGGAGUAAGGGCCAGAGUCCAUUCCCAUUGAGUAGGCCACCCACCACUCUGCUGGGCUGGCACCCACACUGUACCAGUCAUUACAGAUGGCAUCUAGAAUGUGAGAAUGUGGCUCCAUGUUGCAAGCUGGAAAACAAUGUUUAAAACACAACCUGAUAGGGCUUACUCAUAGGACUGGUUAGAGGGUGAUAAAUGGAACCUAAUUGUCUAGGAAUCUUGAAGGAGUAGCAGUCUCAGCUUCAACGAGAUGGAUCUUGGAGCAGGAAUAAGAAUGUAAAUUCCCCAUCUCUGAGCUUCUCCCUGGGGCCUACAAAAUGCAUCUUGCUGGAGUCCUGGGAGAGCACUGAAUAAAUAUAAAGCGAUAAUGAGAAGGCUCUGGGCCACCUGGGAGAUGCAUUGGUUUCCGAACCCAGAGAGCCAGGAUUACCUGUGGAAGCAGCUCACAGGCUGGAUGACUUUUGGCUCCAAGCACUGAAGCAUCAGUUAACAACAGUUCUUCCCAAAGAAAGGAAAAUGGCAGAUGGCAUCUUUGGCAGGAUUCUAACAGAAUCCAUAGACACUCUGGACUCAUUCUCUGGGACUCAGCACUUAGUACCAGAAUGAACCCGUUGUGUUUGGACUGACUCUGGAGGAACCACUGAGUAUACAGGAUGGAGUCUCACUCUGUUGCCCAGGCUGGAGUACAAUGAUGUGA